rnacentral:rRNA from 1 species
AUACGGAGGGUGCAAGCGUUAAUCGGAAUUACUGGGCGUAAAGCGUACGUAGGCGGUUCGUUAAGUUAGGUGUGAAAGCCCCGGGCUUAACCUGGGAACUGCAUUUAAAACUGGCGGACUAGAGUUGAGUAGAGGGGAGUGGAAUUUCAGGUGUAGCGGUGAAAUGCGUAGAGAUCUGAAGGAACACCAGUGGCGAAGGCGACUCCCUGGACUCGAACUGACGCUGAGGUACGAAAGCGUGGGUAGCAAACGGGAUUAGAUACCCCAGUAGUCC